UUUAAUAUCACAUAACUUUUAAAGACAUUAUAAAAAUUGUAAUUGAAUACCAAUAAAUUUUUAUAAACUUUUUAAAUGUCUUAAUUAAAUACAACCAAACUUUAAAAAAUAAAUUUUUUAAUUGAAUAGACCCUCCUAAAUGAAAAAGAAAUUCAUUUGAGAUUAGGGGUAAAGAAACAGAGCAAAAGGGCCUGUUUGAUAGCUGAAUGGCUCUGUCAGACCGUUUGUUUAUAGUAACUUUUUAAAUCUGCUAUUCGUCUGAUCGAUUCUUUUAACAAAAUUUGGCUGAAUGGGCUUAGUUUUACCCAAAUAGCCUUCCAUCUCUCGCUCCUCUCGUUUCCAUCUCUAGCGCCGCUCUCUUCUGCAUCUCCAUCGGUGUCUCCAUCCGUAUCGGUGUUCUCUGCUAUUUACUUGA
rnacentral:lncRNA from 1 species